rnacentral:misc_RNA from 1 species
GAUGAAGAACGUAGCGAAAUGCGAUAAGUAGUGUGAAUUGCAGAAUUCAGUGAAUCAUCGAAUCUUUGAACGCACAUUGCGCCCCUUGGUAUUCCAUGGGGCAUGCCUGUUCGAGCGUCGUUUCAACCCUCGAGCCCCCGUGGCCCGGCGUUGGGGAUCUGCCCAGGCAGUCCCCGAAAACCAGUGGCGGACCCGUUACAGGCCCUUCCCUUGCGUAGUAGCAUUCGCCUCGCAUCGGGAGCCGGCGGGCUUCCAGCCUCUAAACCCCCAUCAAGUCCGCCCCGGCGGCACCAAGGUUGACCUCGGAUCAGGUAGGAAUACCCGCUGAACUUAAGCAUAUCAAUAAGCGGAGGA